rnacentral:sRNA from 1 species
UUUAUGAUAUAAUAUCGUUAUGCAAACAAGUGAAGAUGACGGCUAUCCUGGAAAUGUGGUGGUGCCUAUGGUUUUAAAAUCAUAACACUGACUAUCCUAGGAAAGGAGAAGCCUGAUGUCCGACAAGGAUGUCUUAGCACUGCUGAUGACGUUUGGAAUGUUUAUUCUAACGUUUAUUGGCAU